CAUGCACAGCCGGUUUGGGUUCCGUCCAGACAUCCCCGCUUUCCAGGGACAGUCCCCGUUUUUGGUGGCCUGUCCCCGUUUUUAACUGUGCGUUAAAAACAGACCGCAAAGUGAAAUAAUAUUUUACAUGGCAAGAAAGACCAAGCAGCAGAGCCUACUGGUUGACGUCUCAAUCGCGUUGUGCUUGUUUUGGCCAACAGAGGGGGCUACUUGCUAUAGCAGCUUCAUUCACUCUUCUUCAACUAACUACUUGCUCGCAUUAGUUUUAGAGAAAACUGCUGUGGAAAACUCGGCCAGAAGCUAGUAAGUGUCAAAGUGAAUCCACAACAUCACCACAAACGUCUUCAAGCCAUAGAGUGGAGAGGAGGAAGACUGGAUAGGAAGAAGAGUGAACGAGAGGAGGAAAGAUUGGAGAGGAAGGAACAAUUAAGGGAGUAAAAAAGUGAAGCGAGGAGAGUAGAAGAGUGAGGUGGAAAGGUGAAGAGAAGGAAAGGAAGAAAGAGAAGGAAGAUGAGUGAAGAAAAGAGAGAUUGGAGAGAAUAAAUAGUUAAGAGUAAGAAGAGUGACACAAUGAGAGUGAAGAAGAGCAGACAGAGGUACAAUGGUUCUUUCCAAGAAACGGAAAAUGCCAUUUUAAUGGCAACAUGAGAGAAUUUCCGUUUAUAUGCUCAGGUCAAGACGAUAGAAUGGUUCACAGAAACCUUUUGUUAUUCCUCUUUUUCAAUUGGCAGCGGGGGAAGAACGGCAGUGGUAGAACAUCAACAGACCAAAAAGCAUAAAGCCUCUCUGAUUGGCCGUGUUGGUAUGUCCUCUGUCACCACAUUCUUCAAGAAGGUAGAGCCUUCCCAAGAAGAAUAUGGUUUAGCUGUGCGGGAGGGUGUCUUUGCAUACCACACUAUGCAAUCAUAGUUACCGAUCUAUGGACUGCAUAGCACAACUGACACGGAAGCUUUGUGAGCCAAAGUUUACAUGUGCUAGGACAAAAUGUGACACCCUAGUGAGUCAAAUAUAUGAAUGCAGCACAUCUGUGGAAACAAAAGUUUGAUUUUUGUUGAAUUGAAAGGAGAAACAGCAGAGGAAAUUGCAUCCGAGGUCCUGGCGGUCAUCCAAAAAUGUAACCUGGAAAACAAAGUCGUGGCAUUCUCUGCCGACAACACAAAUACCAACUUUGGAGGAAUGAAUAGGCUGGGGAGUUUUAAUGUCCAUACCAAAGUUAAAAAGGCUCUGCAGCGGGAGGUGAUUGGCUUAGGUUGUCCUGCCCACAUCAUUCAUAACACGGUCAGAACAGCUUUGGAUAUGAUUCCCCUUGAUGUUGAUUACCUGCUCACAAAGAUAUUUUCACAUUUUCACCGUCAGAGUAGAAAGACUGAAGAGCUUUUGUGAGUUUGUUGGCAGGAGUACCAUAACAUUUUAGGACACUGCGAUGUUCGCUGGCUGUCCAUGCUCCCUGCUCUAGAAAGGGUGCUGAAAAUAUAUGUGCCAUUUGAAAUCCUUUUUUCUUUAUGAAGACACAUUCCCUGUUGUCCUGUGAACAAUGUUCGAAGGUCCAUUGGUUGGCCUUUGUCCAUGGAAACCUGACCUUAUUCAGUGACAUGAUCAAGAUGCUUAAAGGCCAGGACCGCUGUGCUGUGGAGUCAACUGCAAUUCUGGGAAACGUUGAGGCAAAAUUGACUGCAAGACAUGAUGACAACUUCAUUCCAGUUUUGGUCAGAGGACUUCUGAGAGAGCUGGAGGAUAAUGGAGACAUGUCUAAAGAGAGCUUUCUUGAAACAUCCCAAUCAUUCUUCACUACGGGUGUGAAUUACUUGCAAGCAUUGGGAAAGCACACAGAUAAUCUAAAAUUUUUAUAUGGUCUCCUUUUUAAAAGGCAACCACUGCGUGAAGAGAUCCAGAAGGCAGCAGCCACACUGCAGGAAAAAUGCCCCAAUGUGACCAUCGAUGAGGAUGCAUUGUUUGAUGAGGUUACUGGCCUGCAAGGGUUCCUAAAAGGGAAACAUCUGAGACAACGCUUAGUCAGAUAUGGAGCACGGUGGUUACACACUUCAAAGAGAACAACAUCCCACACACUAACCUGGCUAGAUUAGCGUCUGUUGUCAUGUGCUUACCUGGAAGUAAUGCACCGGUCGAGAGAGUGUUCUCCCAAAUGAAUGCUCUAUGGACAGCAGCAAGAAAUAGGUUCACUGUUCCAACCAUCAAGGCUGUGCUUAUUGUGAAGACAAACUUCAUCCUCCCCUGCCAGGAGAAGCUGGCCAAAGACAGAGCAAUCCUGAAGAAAAUACAUUCUUCUGAAAAAUAUACAGAUUAGACUGCCAGGACCACUGAAUGGCUGUUCAGAUCAGACAGUUCUGUCUUGUCUGUAGUGUUUCUGUAAUAUAGUUGUUUUCUCUGUCUACCACAGUGUGGCUGUUAGAUUAAAUAAAUGAAACCGGAAUUGUC